CCCCCGGAGCGGGCUGCCGGGCGGAGGAGCCCACCGAGCCCUGGUGGGCGAGGGCGCUGGGCGUCCUUCAUGAUGAGUGAUUGGGAAUACUUCUCUCGCUGUGUAGCUGAUAAGACAUCUGGGUGGUAAAGAGAUGGCAGACAGCGUCAAAACUUUUCUUCAGGACCUCGGCAGGGGAAUCAAAGACUCCAUCUGGGGCAUUUGUACCAUCUCCAAGAUAGAUGCUUGGAUCCAGCAAAAGAGAGAGGAGCAGCGCCGAAGAAGGCCUGGUAGUGUCCUGGCUCAGAGGAGAACCCAGAGUAUAGAGCAGAAGAAGCAAGACAGCAAGUCAUGCAUUGUUAGAAGAAUUUUCCACUGCUGUGCUUGGAAUGGUGGAGUAUUCUGGUUAAGUCUCCUUUUGUUUUAUCGAGUAUUUAUUCCUGUGCUUCAGUCAGUAACAGCCCGGAUUAUUGGUGAUCCGUCCUUGCAUGGAGAUAUUUGGUCUUGGCUGGAAUUCUUCCUCACAUCAGUUUUCAGUGCUCUUUGGGUGCUCCCCCUGUUCGUGCUUAGCAAAAUUGUGAAUGCCAUUUGGUUUCAAGACAUAGCUGACCUGGCAUUCGAGGUGUCAGGGCGGAAGCCACAGCCAUUCCCCAGCGUUAGCAAGAUAAUUGCCGACAUGCUCUUCAACCUUCUGCUGCAGGAGCUCUUCCUCAUCCAGGGAAUGUUUGUGAGUCUCUUUCCCAUCCACCUUGUUGGUCAGCUCGUCAGUCUGCUGCAUAUGUCCCUUCUCUACUCGCUGUACUGCUUCGAGUAUAGUUGGUUCAAUAAAGGAAUUGAAAUGCAUCAGCGCUUAUCCGACAUAGAAAGGAACUGGCCUUACUACUUUGGAUUUGGUCUGCCCUUGGCUUUCCUCACAGCAAUGCAGUCUUCAUAUAUUAUCAGUGGCUGCCUCUUCUCGAUCCUCUUUCCUUUAUUCAUCAUCAGCGCCAAUGAAGCAAAGACCCCUGGAAAAGCAUACCUUUUCCAGUUGCGCCUUUUCUCCUUGGUGGUCUUUUUAAGCAACAGACUCUUCCAUAAGACAGUCUACCGGCAGUCUUCGCUGAGCAGCUCCACCUCUGCAGAGAAGUUCCCCUCACCACGUCCCUCUCCUGCCAAACUGAAGGCUGCUGCAAGUCCCUGAGUCGCUGCUGUCCAGAGUGAUGGGUGGGAUCAGAGGAGGCUGGCAGCUCUUUCCUCUGUUCUUCCCUGGCCAGGGAAGGAGGGGCCCAUUCUGCCAAGGGUCCUUUGCGUAUUCCCUCCUAAGAGUUGGAACUUUGGUUGUCUCGAGUGCAAGUAAGGCAGAAUCUUCCUGACACCAGUGUGUGGAUUUUUAACACCAUCAUGAAUCUGAAUGAACCACAGGUUUUUCUAUAGCUGUUUCUAGCAUUUGCCAGCCCCUGUGCCUGGACUGAUUUGCAUACUUUGUUUUCCCCCCUGUGCCAUUUACCCUCCCGUCUGUCCUUUCUGCUUUCCAGCCCCCUUGGAUGAAUGAGUUUUGUAAUUCUAGCCGUUGUAUUUUGUGGAUUUGUUAUUUUUGUUUUUCUGUGAAGCACAUGCAUUGGAUGUGGGUGAGGAAGGCGUGCCGGCCUCAGCUGCGCCUGCUCACUCCCUUCAUAGCCAUCACUGUCUUGUUUCUUGUAACUCAGGUUAGGUUUUGGUCUCUUUUGCUCUACUGCAAAAAAAGAAAAAGAAAAAGAA